UAAAUAUAAAUUAUCGUUGAUCAUCUCAACGAGAUCGAUUUUCUCGCUUGAGUCGGUACGGUGAAAGCGAGAAAGGCAAUCGAGUUGAGAUGACCAAUGAUAAUCUGUUUAUCGCUAUUUUACCUAUGACGACGAUGUCAAUUUCAUGUCAAUUUCGAAUUCCUUAGCAUCGCCACGUGCCUCCUUAGUUUCUAGCGAUAAUUUUCCAUCUCAAGCGAGUAGCAUGAUAUGAAAA
rnacentral:lncRNA from 1 species